rnacentral:rRNA from 1 species
GUGGGGAAUCUUGCGCAAUGGGCGAAAGCCUGACGCAGCCAUGCCGCGUGAAUGAUGAAGGUCUUAGGAUUGUAAAAUUCUUUCACCGGGGACGAUAAUGACGGUACCCGGAGAAGAAGCUCCGGCUAACUUCGUGCCAGCAGCCGCGGUAAUACGAAGGGGGCUAGCGUUGCUCGGAAUUACUGGGCGUAAAGGGCGCGUAGGCGGACAGCUUAGUCAGAGGUGAAGGCCCAGGGCUCAACCUUGGAAUUGCCUUUGAUACUGGCUGUCUUGAGUUUGGGAGAGGUGAGUGGAACUCCGAGUGUGGAGGUGAAAUUCGUAGAUAUUCGGAAGAACACCAGUGGCGAAGGCGACUCACUGGCCCAAUACUGACGCUGAGGCGCGAAAGCGUGGGGAGCAAACAGGAUUAGAUACCCGAGUAGUCC